GUGGCGGACUGGUGAGGAACACGUGGGUAAUCUACCCUUAAGUUGGGGAUAGCUGCUAGAAAUAGCAGAUAAUACCGAAUACACUCGGUCUUUCAUAAGAGAGAUUGAGGAAAGAGGCUACGGCCUCGCUUGAGGAUGAGCUUGCGCCCCAUUAGCUAGUUGGUGAGGUAAAGGCUCACCAAGGCAACGAUGGGUAUCCGGCCUGAGAGGGUGAUCGGACACAUUGGGACUGAGAUACGGCCCAAACUCC
rnacentral:rRNA from 1 species